GCCUCUGUAGCUCAGUUGUUUAGAGUGCUGCACCGGAAUCGCAGGGCCGCAGGUUCAAUUCCUGCCAGAGGAC
rnacentral:tRNA from 1 species